AGUGAACGCUGGCGGUAGGCCUAACACAUGCAAGUCGAACGGCAGCACAGUAAGAGCUUGCUCUUACGGGUGGCGAGUGGCGGACGGGUGAGGAAUACAUCGGAAUCUACUUUUUCGUGGGGGAUAACGUAGGGAAACUUACGCUAAUACCGCAUACGACCUACGGGUGAAAGCAGGGGAUCUUCGGUCCUUGCGCGAUUGAAUGAGCCGAUGUCGGAUUAGCUAGUUGGCGGGGUAAAGGCCCACCAAGGCGACGAUCCGUAGCUGGUCUGAGAGGAUGAUCAGCUACACUGGAACUGAGACACGGUCCAGACUCCUACGGGAGGCAGCAGUGGGGAAUAUUGGACAAUGGGCGCAAGCCUGAUCCAGCCAUACCGCGUGGGUGAAGAAGGCCUUCGGGUUGUAAAGCCCUUUUGUUGGGAAAGAAAAGCAGCAGGUUAAUACCCCGCUGUUCUGACGGUACCCAAAGAAUAAGCACCGGCUAACUUCGUG
rnacentral:rRNA from 1 species